rnacentral:rRNA from 1 species
AUUGAACGCUGGCGGCAGGCCUAACACAUGCAAGUCGAACGAGUGGCGGACGGGUGAGUAAUGUCUGUGAAACUGCCCGAUGGAGGGGGAUAACUACUGGAAACGGUAGCUGAUACCGCAUACCAUCGGAUGUGCCCAGAUGGGAUUAGCUAGUGGGUGGGGUAACGGCUCACCUAGGCGACGAUCCCUAGCGGGUCUGAGAGGAUGACCAGUCACACUGGAACUGAGACACGGUCCAGACUCCUACGGGAGGCAGCAGUGGGGAAUAUUGCACAAUGGGCGAAAGCCUGAUGCAGCCAUGCCGCGUGUAUGAAGAAGGCCUUCGGGUUGUAAAGUACUUUCAGCGAGGAGGCGUUACUAGCAGAAGAAGCACCGGCUAACUCCGUGCCAGCAGCCGCGGUAAUAC